GAUGGUUGGUCAGCCAGAGAGACAAAGGGCAGAGAGAUCUGGAACCUUCAAUAAAUCCUGCAGUGAGGUAAUCAGGAUGUUCCUCACUCCUGUCUCAUCCAUCACCUCAUUGAAACUGGUUGGUCAGCCCGAGUGAGAGAGGUGGAGAGGGAGAUCUGGAGCCUUCAGUAAAUCCUGCAGCCGGUUCUCAGGAAGGUGCUGACUCAAUAGACUUCCCAAUUGCUAGGUGUCUCGUCCAACACCUCUUUGAAGAUGAUUGGUCAGCCAGAGAGACAAAGGAUAGGGAGAUGUGGAGCCUUCAAUAAAUCCUGCAGUGAAGUUGCAUUGGGACAUUGACAGGACGCAGAGCUGGGCUGGAAGUGGCAGAUGGAGUCCAAUCUGGAAAAGUGUGAAGUGAUUCAUUCUGGAAGGUACUCAGGAAAGUCCUGACUCAAUAGCCUUCACAGCUGCGGGGUAGAUGUUCCAUCACCACAUUGAAGAUGGUUGGUCUGCCAGAGAGAGACAAAGGGCAGGGAAAUCUGGAGCCUUCAAUAAAUCCUGUAGUGAGGUAUUCCUGAUGUCCCUGACUCAGCAGAAUUCCCAAUUCCUGUCUCGUCCAUCACCACAUUGAAGACGGUUGGUCAGCCGGAGAGAGAUGGAGAGUGAGAUCUGGAUCCUUCAGUAAAUCCUGCAGCUGGUACUCAAUUAACUUCCCAGCUGCUGGGUGUCUCGUCCAUCACCACAUUGAAGAUGGUUGGUCAGCCAGAGAGACAAAGGGCAGGGAGAUCUAGAGCCUUCAAUAAAUCCUGCAGUGAGAUGGCAAUGGUAAUGACUGCGGAUGGUGCUAACUGAGGAAAUGUCAAUGUAUUCAUACCUGCUGCUGAGUGUCGGUGGUGGAGUGAGGGAGUCGUUGUGGAUGUGGACUUUUUGAUAGUGGAAUCACUGACAUCUGUCCAUUACUUGCUGCUGGUGCUGUCAGAAUACAAGUCGUCCCGCUUUGCAGCAGAAAGCAGUAAGAGUUUUGCCAGGUUGUCCCUCAUCUCGUGGUCUGGCUGGUGAUGCUCCCAGCAUGUUCUUCUGCAUUCAACACUAACCGAGUUACUGUAGAGUGGGAGAUAUAUUGGGCCGUGAUGGUUACUGGAGAGUGGGAGGUAGGUUGGGCUGUGAUGGUUACUGUACAGUGGGAGGUAUGUGGGCCCGUGAUAGUUACUGUACUGAGGGUAGUAUGUCAGGCCGUUAUGGUUUCUGUACAGUUGGAGGUAUGUGGGGCCAUGAUGACUACUGGUCAUUGGGAGGUAUAUGGGGCCGUGAUAGUUACUGUACAGCGGGAGGUAU